ACUCACUGAUUUUGAAAAAUCAGGAGAUGACUUGUGGCUGGGGGUGAAAGGCCAAUCAAACCGGGAGAUAGCUGGUUCUCCCCGAAAUCUAUUUAGGUAGAGCCUCGGACGAACACCAUUGGGGGUAGAGCACUGUUAAGGCUAGGGGGUCAUCCCGACUUACCAACCCGAUGCAAACUCCGAAUACCAGUGAGUG
rnacentral:rRNA from 1 species